AACCGAGAUUCCCCCAGUAGCGGCGAGCGAACGGGGAGCAGCCCAGAGCCUGAAUCAGUGUGUGUGUUAGUGGAAGCGUCUGGAAAGGCGCGCGAUACAGGGUGACAGCCCCGUACACAAAAAUGCACAUGCUGUGAGCUCGAUGAGUAGGGCGGGACACGUGGUAUCCUGUCUGAAUAUGGGGGGACCAUCCUCCAAGGCUAAAUACUCCUGACUGACCGAUAGUGAACCAGUACCGUGAGGGAAAGGCGAAAAGAACCCCGGCGAGGGGAGUGAAAAAGAACCUGAAACCGUGUACGUACAAGCAGUGGGAGCACGCUUAGGCGUGUGACUGCGUACCUUUUGUAUAAUGGGUCAGCGACUUAUAUUCUGUAGCAAGGUUAACCGAAUAGGGGAGCCGAAGGGAAACCGAGUCUUAACUGGGCGUUAAGUUGCAGGGUAUAGACCCGAAACCCGGUGAUCUAGCCAUGGGCAGGUUGAAGGUUGGGUAACACUAACUGGAGGACCGAACCGACUAAUGUUGAAAAAUUAGCGGAUGACUUGUGGCUGGGGGUGAAAGGCCAAUCAAACCGGGAGAUAGCUGGUUCUCCCCGAAAGCUAUUUAGGUAGCGCCUCGUGAAUUCAUCUCCGGGGGUAGAGCACUGUUUCGGCAAGGGGGUCAUCCCGACUUACCAACCCGAUGCAAACUGCGAAUACCGGAGAAUGUUAUCACGGGAGACACACGGCGGGUGCUAACGUCCGUCGUGAAGAGGGAAACAACCCAGACCGCCAGCUAAGGUCCCAAAGUCAUGGUUAAGUGGGAAACGAUGUGGGAAGGCCCAGACAGCCAGGAUGUUGGCUUAGAAGCAGCCAUCAUUUAAAGAAAGCGUAAUAGCUCACUGGUCGAGUCGGCCUGCGCGGAAGAUGUAACGGGGCUAAACCAUGCACCGAAGCUGCGGCAGCGACACUAUGUGUUGUUGGGUAG
rnacentral:rRNA from 1 species